rnacentral:ncRNA from 1 species
AACUGGGGGUGCCCGACCCGGUCGCUACGGCCGAUGGCUGAGAACAUACCCCUCGAACCUGAUCCGGGUAAUACCGGCGGAGGAAAUUUUAU